rnacentral:lncRNA from 1 species
CAGUGGUCUUAGUUAAAUUUAAGAAUAGAAAUGCGUAAUAUGUCAAAGAGCAAACAACAGCCGAGGCCACCAAUGGGUCUUAAUUGCAGCAGCUAGAAAAUCUGACAAUUGGAGGUCAUCCUCAGCUUGCCCCUAAAUAAAAUUGUGUACUAGUUCAAUGAAAAUGGACGUCACACUGAACUCUGAAACAAAUAAAAGAACUUAAAUUAAAAACACACAAGACUAACAAAGACCAGAGGCUCCUGACUUGGGACAGGCACUGUGUGGCAGGGUUAAACAUGUUUUAUAAGAUCUCAACCCUCCCCCUGAUGCCCUAUACCUCUAGCCAAUGUAGAAUAAAGAAACGCAUAGUAAUAC